GUACAAAAAUGUAAUUUUGCCAUAUGUACAAGUUUUGAAUCAGUAUGUACAAAUAAAUCCAAGCAGGUAGAAUAGGAAAUGGAACAAUUUUUUAAGACGCUAAAAGGGCAAUAUAGUAAUUUUACCCAUGAAAUAUAAUUGCAUCUUUCAUUGGCAUUGUCUGUUCGAGUAUACAACUGGUCGCCUCCCUCAUCAUAAAUGGAGAAUUUGGAUGGUCUUCUCCUUCACUAUACUCCUAUCUGAUUGGUAUAAAUGCAUCAAAUCCAUUUAGUGAGGUCGUUUCUUGUCUGAUUUCGAUUCGUGUUGAUGGAAAGAAUCUGUGUGAGCGACUGAUCACUCAUCUAGGGUUAGGGUUAUGACUUCGUCUUCUUCGUUUCAGGGUGUUAAUAUUCUAAGUGGUGAAGAAGUUGCUAUGAAGCUGAUUAAAUGCAGGUUCUAAGCGUAAUUGGCUGGAUAUUUCUCCUUAGCAUCAAUAAGGAG